CCUACGGGGGGCUGCAGUGAGGAAUAUUGGUCAAUGGGCGUAAGCCUGAACCAGCCAAGUCGCGUGAGGGAUGAAGGUUCUAUGGAUCGUAAACCUCUUUUAUCAGGGAGUAAAGUGUGGGACGUGUCCUAUUUUGUAUGUACCUUAUGAAUAAGGCUCGGCUAACUCCGUGCCCGCAGCCGCGGUAAUACGGAGGAUCCGAGCCGUAUCCGGAUUUAUUGGGUUUAAAGGGUGCGUAGGCGGCCUUUUAAGUCAGCGGGGAAAGUCUGGGGGUCAAACAUAGAAUGGCCGUUGAAACUGGGGGGCUUGAGUAUGUUUGAGGCAGGCGGAAUGCGUGGUGUAGCGGUGAAAUGCUUAGAUAGCACGCAGAACCCCGAUUGCGAAGGCAGCAUGCCAAGCCAUGACUGACGCUGAGGCACGAAAGCGUGGGGAUCAAACAGGAUUAGAUACCCGAGUAGUC
rnacentral:rRNA from 1 species